rnacentral:rRNA from 1 species
UACGUAGGGGGCAAGCGUUGUCCGGAGUUACUGGGCGUAAAGCGCACGCAGGCGGUUGUGCACGUUUGGGGUGACAGCUUCCGGCUUAACUGGAAGAGGACCUCGAAGACGGCGCGACUUGAGGGGUUCAGAGGGAUCGAGAAUUCCGGGGUGGAGUGGUGAAAUGCGUAGAUAUCCGGAGGAAUACCCAAGGCGAAGGCAUGGUCCUGGGAACCACCUGACGCUCAGGUGCGAAAGCGAGGGGAGCGAACGGG